AUACGUAGGUGGCGAGCGUUAUCCGGAAUUAUUGGGCGUAAAGGGUGCGCAGGCGGCCUGUUAAGUUUAAGGUGAAAGCGUGGGGCUUAACCCCAUACAGCCUUAGAUACUGGCAGGCUAGAGUACUGGAGAGGAAAGUGGAAUUCCAUGUGUAGCGGUAAAAUGCGUAGAUAUAUGGAGGAACACCAGUGGCGAAGGCGGCUUUCUAGCCAGUAACUGACGCUGAGGCACGAAAGCGUGGGGAGCAAAUAGGAUUAGAUACCCUAGUAGUCCACGCUGUAAACGAUGAAUACUAAGUGUUGGGGAAACUCAGUGCUGCAGCUAACGCAAUAAGUAUUCCGCCUGGGGAGUACGGCCGCAAGGUUGAAACUUAAAGGAAUUGGCGGGG
rnacentral:rRNA from 1 species